UACAUAGGGGGCAAGCGUUGUCCGGAUUUACUGGGCGUAAAGAGCUCGUAGGCGGUUUACCAAGUCAGAAGUGAAAUCUCCACGCUUAACGUGGAGCGGCCUUUUGAAACUGGUAUGACUUGAGUACGGUAGAGGAGUGUGGAAUUCCCGGUGUAGCGGUGAAAUGCGCAGAUAUCGGGAGGAACACCUAUGGCGAAGGCAGCACUCUGGGCCGAAACUGACGCUGAGGAGCGAAAGCGUGGGGAGCGAACAGG
rnacentral:rRNA from 1 species